rnacentral:rRNA from 1 species
UACGUAGGUGGCAAGCGUUGUCCGGAAUUACUGGGUGUAAAGCGCGUGUAGGCGGGAGGCCAAGUCUGCUGUGAAAUCUCCCGGCUCAACUGGGAGGGUGCAUCGAAAACUGGAGUGCUCGAGGGUGGGAGAGGUAAGCGGAAUUCCUGGUGUAGCGGUGAAAUGCGUAGAUAUCAGGAGGAAUACCGAUGGCGAAGGCAGGUCUCUGGGCUGACACUGACGCUCAUGCACGAAAGCGUGGGGAGCAAACAGG